rnacentral:rRNA from 1 species
UACGAAGGUGGCAAGCGUUACUCGGAAUUACUAGGCGUAAAGGGCAGGUAGGUGGUUUGAUAAGUCUGUUGUGUAAGCUCCCGGCUUAACUGGGAGAGGUCAACAGAUACUAUUAGGCUUGAGUAUGGGAGAGGGUACUGGAAUUCCCGGUGUAGCAGUGAAAUGCGCAGAGAUCGGGAGGAACACCAAUGGCGAAAGCAGGUACCUGGACCAUUACUGACACUAAGCUGCGAAAGCUAGGGGAGCAAACAGG